CGAGAGUCCAGAGGCUCAGCUCCUGUCCCAGAGGGGUGAAGGAUGAGCAGGAGGAACUGGGGAGCUGAUCCUGGAUACUGCUUAUACCAUAGAAGACUCUGGGCUGAGGAGUAGUUGCAGGACACAGUAACAUGAAUCAGAACUCUGAGGCAGGUCUCCAUCUUCACACAAGCUGCUGCAUGAGUCUCUCUUCUGUCAUACCUUCCUCUGUUACUGUGACUGGGGCACGUUACUGUACCAGUAGACAAAUGCACAGCAAGUUUUUGUACAUGAUCUGUAUAUCCUGUAGUCACUGUGGGCCUCAGAGCACAGUAGUAAACAGCAGAGUCAGACAGCUGCACACUCUGGAUCCUCAAAGUAACUGAUUUGCCACUGAAGUUGAGAUUGGCAUUGAAUCUUUCAGUCCAUGCACCAGAGUUGUCUGUUCCUCCAUAACGGUCUUUUCUUAACAUAUAUCUGGGAAAGUCCUUCACCUCCAUCUUGUACCAGAAUAGAUAGGGAUUUGAAGAUGUAGUCUCAAAUGUACAGUUAAGUGUAACUGUCUCUCCCUCAGUAGCAGUCAGAACUUCUGCUGACUGGGUGACAGUG